ACCACAACACGUGUUCCUGAUGCCCAGAAGGGCCUCGGAAGGGUCUUUUAUAUGGGAACAUGCUGCUGGGCAGGGGUAAUGGCAGGCCUGCUACUGUUGGACCUAAUUCUCAUAUUGUGCUGUGUCAAAAUCUGGUGUUACUGGAAGAAGAAAUGGAGCACCUCUGGUGCUAGUCCAGCCAAAUACCUCAGUCAUGGAGAACUUGGCCUGUCAUCGUGCAUCUCCGUGCCAGUGUCCAUUGUCCCUUCCACAGGUGUAUUACCAGCUUGUCGCUGGAAGUAUGCUACAACCACUGCCUAGAACAGAUCCGUCUCUCCCUGAAGGGACUGGCCUAGCUGCCCAUCCAGGACAGGAGGUGCAGCCCUCUAGCCAGGGAAUGGAUUAUUUGAAAGGUUAUAUUUACUUGUAAAAAUUUUAGAUGUUUAUUAAAAACCUUAUUAGAAAUAUAACAGGUUACUGAAUAAAGACAAUGUUACUGUG